GAAAAGUUGAAUCUAAUUAAUGCUUCUUACAUUGAGCUUUCUCACCUAUGGCUGCCAGGAGGAGAGGACUACAUCUUGGAGGAACUAUCUCUCUGCAGCUUUGAACUCAUCGAAUGUGACCUUUUUGUCACCGUUGGCAUCCAUCCGAUUGAAAAAUCUCAUCAAGCUUUCCAAGUUCAGUUAUGUCUGCUGGAAGGCAGUCUUCAAGGCCUAUAUGGAUUUCAGUUGGCUGAUCUUUUCUACCACGUCCAAAGUAAAACUAUAGAGAAAUGCUAAGGCGAUUCGUGUGCAGGCAGACAGAAGAGGCAUAGAUUCAAGUCAUGAAUGUGCAAGAUCCAAGAUGUUCAUUAGGUGGGGAAUGCUAUAAACAUGCAUUGUCCCAAAAUUCAGCUAGAUCUGCAUAUCAGUGAUUUGAGUAGUCCUCAAAAGAAAAUCGGAGAUUUAAGUACCCGAGAAAGUGCACAAAGGAAUGACAGAAUUCUGAAAAUAAGAUCAAGAUUGUGCUUUGCUGACCAUCAAGAGUAUACAUGUGUUGAGACCCAAUACAACUGUCACACAGAAAGUCAAAACUUGAAACACAUGUUGGUGAUCCAAGCCCUUCAACACACUGGCGUCGUGAUGAAUGUGUCUUCACCUACUAUCAGUUUUGUCCAUUCAUCAGGAUUUGUGAAAUCGGUUACAGCUUUUGCAAGAAAUGGUCACAGAUGAGAAGUAUAGAUUGAGCUGUUGAACCGUGUCAGGAAAUGUCAAUAGUGCAGCCCAAUUCAGAGUAAUGGAAGAAUCUCUGAUGAAAUCUCUUUAUUCACAUCGAGAACACUAGAGACAUCACUGUUGGCAGUUAACUAAUCAUGGCAAUAUAUGGGAGCUAGUGAAGAUCUCAACUUUUCGAUGGCUCAAUGAGAUGCCGCAUACUUGAAGUUUCAGAUACAGGUCGAAUCUUGAUCUCCAAUCUUCCCAUCGAUAACCUGGCUACAAUUUUGCACCUUCCAACAAAUACCAUUCUAUGAACGGAUUGGACAAAAGUUCCAUCCAAUACAACUGCUUGGAUUAGAGAAGCCAGACCUGGUACCUUUCAUCCCUUCCAUGUUCAAGUAUUUGAGGGAAAGGGGGAUGCAAGCCGAAGUAAAGGUUGUCUACAUUGCAAUUGAGGCUCUGUGGCUUCAUACAUUCAUGGAUGUGGCCCACUAGACUGCAUGGACAAAUGAUCAAGACAACCAUCCAUCUGCUCGCCCCUACCGUUGUGGGUGAUUGUACAGAAGACGGAGAAUCUGGUCUA